CUUUUUAUCCUGAUGGUAAAAAAAUUGUUCCAAGAGACAUCAAAGAAAUAUUGACUCAUCCUCUAAGUCUGGCGGUUUGGUAUAUGGAUGACGGCAGUUUAGAUUAUCGGCCCAAAAGCCACUAUAAUUAUUCGCUAUCUACCAACAGCUUUACCUUAGAAGAAAAUCGACUGCUAAUAGGUGUUUUGAAGGAAAAUUUUGGGAUUAUUACUUCGGUGCAAGCUCCGCUUUGUCGCGGUGUGCGCUAUCCGGAGCUGUAUAUUGGAGUGGCAGGUAGGGAUAAAUUUAUCGAGACGAUAAAACCAUAUCUCUUGCCGUGCUUCAAGUAUAAGAUUCCUCCGUUCGAACAUCUAAAAUUAUAAUUAACCCCUCAGAGACUCGACCAAUUGAUUGGUCGGAUGGAGACUCUUGAGUCUCCAUAAAACGCUAGGCAUCCUUUUUAUUAAAAGAGGAUGGUGAUAUAGUCCAAAAUUAAACAUACUUCAUUAGUAUUGUGUAAUACCGGCCAGCAGGAGCGGUAAUACGAAGGCCCCAAGCGUUAUCCGGAAUUACUGGGCGUAAAGAGCGAGUAGCUGGUGAUGUUAGUCCGGUGUUAAAUCUCGAGGCUCAACCUCGAGGCCGCAUUGGAAACGGCAUUACUAGAGCGGGUGAGAGGCAAGCAGAACGUGCGGUGUAGGGGUGAAAUCCGUUGAUAUCGCACGGAAUACCAAAAGCGAAAGCAGCUUGCUAGCGCCGCGCUGACAGUCAAUCGCGAAAGCGUGGGGAUCAAAAAGGAUUAGAUACCCUUGUAGUCCACGCCCUAAACGAUGCAGGCUAGCUAUUAGGAGCAUCGACCCUCCUGGUGGCGAAGCUAACGCGUUAAGCCUGCCGCCUGGGAAGUACGAGCGCAAGCUUAAAACUCAAAGAAAUAGACGGGGAUCCGCACAAGCGGUGGACCAUGUGGUUUAAUUCGACUCUAAGCGAAGAACCUCACCAGGGCUUGAAAUCCAGACGAAAGUUUCGGGAAACCGAGACCCUCGCAAGACGGCUGGACAGGUGCUGCACGGCCGUCGUCAGCUCGUCAUGUGAAUGGUUCCAUUAAGUUGGGAAACGAGCGCAACCCCUGUCGCGUGUUACUUAUGUCACGCGAGACUGCCCAGUUCCUAACCUGCAAGGCAGGUAAAUCUCAAAAAUCCAAAUCUCAAAUAGCAAAUAAAUUCCAAAAUUGAAUAUUGUUUGUGAUUUGUUGUUUAGUGCUUGGGAUUUACCGAUUUUGUCGGUUGUGAACUGGGAGGAAGGCGGGGACGACGUCAGGUCAGCGUGGCCCUUUGAUGCCCUGGGCUACACACGUGGUACAAUGGACAGUACAAUGGGUCGCUAAGGCGCGAGCCGGAGCCAAUCCCACCAAAGCUGUCCCCAGUUCGGAUAAGAGGCUGCAACUUGCCUCUUUGAAGUUGGAAUCGCUAGUAAUCGCAGAUCAGAACGCUGCGGUGAAUACGUUCCCGGAUCUUGUACUCACAAUGAAAGCGCCCGGCAGGUUAAUAUUCUAGAUGGUUAAAAUCCAUCCUCCCAUCAGACCGUGAUGGGACGUAGUUGAAGACUAGGCUUAGGUCGUGAGAUUUAAGUCGAAGGAGUU
rnacentral:rRNA from 1 species